UUUUACUUCAUUCUUCAGUUUCAUCGUGUUCCCAUCCUUCAUUUCUCUUCCUCGUGCCCGUCGGGCAUUUACCUCGAUUUGUCAAUCCAAAAAUGACUAGAUGCUCCAGGAUCAUAACUUAUUCUAUCAGUCAGAUCGAGCAACACGAAAUCAAAACAGUUAAAAAUUUCGCUAUUCAGGUCCCUGUUUCAAAAUUGGACAUCAACACUAUGUACCGAAGAUGACGCAUCUACAGCCCAACCGUACCAUGCAAGCUAAUGGGUGUGACGACAAAUCACCAUGACUGGUGGAAUCAAAUUGCAGACGAGUCUCCAGAAGAGCGCGGAGCUCAGUUUAUUUGUUUUUCCCGCAACAAGGACACGGAGAAGGUGAUGCGGGUGACAGUAGAGUGACGCGAUUACUCCAAUUCACUUUGCUUUUUUGCUUACCUUCUCGGGAAAUCUCGUGCCCUCAAUCUCGCUAUGCCGUUCAAAUUAGUUGAUAAUGACUUAUGGACGACCACUUGGGAACAUCACUCCAAUCCUCCCAAGAGUCCCAUGGGCUUUGGCUUCGCUACACAAUACGACAGUCAUCAGCUAUUGACGCGUAGCUAGUGACAAGGCCGCGCUUGACGCAUGUACCGCUCAAGCUUUCCUCGUCCAAUUCCGAAAUACUUUCCUCGUCUGCUUUCGAACGUUUCCCUCGCGCGACGUUUGUAUAGCACACUGAGACAGAAAGUGGAUAAUAUCUCGCUUGAAGUUCGGCGAUCGUCCUUUGGGUGGGAAGAUGUGUACGAUGUCCCGGCGGAAAAUGGUUGGACAGUAUUUCAGACUAAUGUUAUGUAUGAACACGGAUUUCCGCGGUGCCGCGUUGAAGAGCAUUGCAACGACCGAGACAUUUUCGACAAGAUGGACGACGUCCAAGGUGGAAUAAUUCCUUUAGAAUGAGCAGGGAACCGAUAGCAUAAUGAGAACGAACUUGGUACCCCUGGCACUGGCCCGGUAAAGAACUGUCAAAGGACUGAAUCCCAGCGGGACAGAGAUGAGGCAAUCUUGUCCAAUGCCAUCGACUUACACUGCCCAAACAAAGCAUAUGGCUAACUUGGGCUGUGUCGGAGUGUUUAGGAUACGUAUACCAGCCCGCGACGGCUUCCCGAGCCUCCUUUGUUCUCAAGAGUACGUCCGCAUCAGAUAUAGCAAGUGAAUGCACUCGAGAGAGAGCGACCAUUUUUCGCUCGAUGGCGCUCUUGAGAAAGCGAACUGGGCCUUUCUUUGGGCAAAGAGCCAUGUCAGCUUCUUGGUGUUUCACUAUGCCCCUGUCGGCUGGACGGAGGAAACAGCGGAUUUUACGUCGUCUAGUGCCGACCUUUCGCUCAGGACCCGAGGGAGUGCUACAGUACUCUUUGAGGGCUCCAUCAUAUAGGCGACUGUCUACGGUGAUCCGUCAAUCAAGUCAUGAUAGAAUGCGGACGCGUUUGAACUGUUGAGUACUACUUCCUUGUACAGAGAAGGAAGGAACUCUCUGUAUAGAGAUUUGCGUGUUUGGAUAAGAACAAAGAGAGUGGAUUUUCGAGACAGAGUCUUUGAUGUGCCAAUGUACGACAGCUUUGAGUUUGCUUCCAAGUUUGUCACUAUAUACGAUUGAAGAAUUACAUCGAUUAGCGUAUGGGAUGAUGCUCUCCGUCUUUCUAGCCAACGGAAGCUAACGACGAAUUCUUAUUCGC
rnacentral:sRNA from 1 species